UACGUAGGCAGCGAGCGUUGUUCGGAAUUACUGGGCGUAAAGAGUGUGUAGGCGGUGCUCUAAGUUCGGUGUGAAAUCUCCCGGCUUAACUGGGAGGGUGCGCCGGAAACUGGAGUGCUCGAGCGUGGGAGAGGAAAGCGGAAUUCCUGGUGUAGCGGUGAAAUGCGUAGAUAUCGGGAGGAACACCUGUGGCGAAAGCGGCUCACUGGACCACAACUGACGCUGAGGCGCGAAAGCUAGGGGAGCAAACAGG
rnacentral:rRNA from 1 species